rnacentral:rRNA from 1 species
AUACGGAGGAUCCGAGCGUUAUCCGGAUUUAUUGGGUUUAAAGGGUGCGUAGGCGGCCUUUUAAGUCAGCGGUGAAAGUCUGUGGCUCAACCAUAGAAUUGCCGUUGAAACUGGGGGGCUUGAGUAUGUUUGAGGCAGGCGGAAUGCGUGGGGUAGCGGUGAAAUGCAUAGAUAUCACGCAAAACCCCGAUUGCGAAGGCAGCCUGCCAAGCCAUGACUGACGCUGAUGCACGAAAGCGUGGGGAUCAAACAGGAUUAGAUACCCUGGUAGUCCACGCAGUAAACGAUGAUCACUAGCUGUUUGCGAUACACUGUAAGCGGCACAGCGAAAGCGUUAAGUGAUCCACCUGGGGAGUACGCCGGCAACGGUGAAACUCAAAGGAAUUGACGGGG